GGCCAUAAAACAUGAAGGGACUGGUAAGCCAGGCCAGUGGAAACAUUCCAGAGUUGAAAAUCCUCUCUGGAAUAAGCUUACCUACAUGUGGCCAGUCCUUCCCAGUGGCCAACUUAAUGAGGAGUUUGAUUGGCCAAUAGAAGGGCUGCUUCUUCCAAACGGUCCUCCCAUGAAGAAACCCAUCUCUAAGACACUGGAGCAAUAUGUCCCUGUGAGACUCAGAGUUUUGCGGAAUGGAGACAAGAACAAAACCAGAGCCCUUAUUAUAAUCAGUCCAGACAUCUCACCUAGGCGGAAAAUGCAGUAAGAACAACUUUUUCAUAUUUCGCAUCAAGCAUACUUUCUAAUUUCUACAGAUUUUU
rnacentral:lncRNA from 1 species